UUUAAUUUAAUUAGACACACACGUGCAGACGGGUCUGGAUGAAGAUAUCCGAUAGACCUUAUUGGAAAAUGUUUUUCUGUCGUUUCGUAUAAUUAGAUUGAAUUUGGCCGGUUCUACUGUGGAAGACGCCCUGAGAAGAUGGGGAUACCGUUGCCAUGGGAGAUUGGUCCAAAGAGCCAUGCUGUCUUUGAGUCUUUGAGUUUCAUUAUUAUUUUUUUAAGCUCAAAAUUGCAACAGACUUUAUUUUGUCCCUUGAUCUAGGACGUGCACACUUUGAACUAGCCCAGGUCAAUUUCAACAUGGCGGGGGUUUCAGUCCAGUGUGAUGUCCCCACUGGCCAACCAUGUGGACUUCGUUGGGUCCCAUCAGAUGGUACCUAGUACCAGCCCAGGUGAAUGUAAACAAAGCUGGGGUUUCACUCCAGUUUAAUGUCUCAUCGAUGUGGACUUGGUUGGCUACACUCAGAUGGACUUUGUCUAAAUUCACCUGGGCUAGGACAAAGCUGGGGUUUAACUCCAGUGUGAUGUCUCCACCGUUUGCUUGCUUCAAAUUGCACAUCCUAGGUCACGGGACCGAAUCCGAAGUCUGUGCCACAAUUCUGAGCAGAAAAAUAAUAAAUUAAUUUGCUUGUAUUCUAUUUGCUUGUAUUCUUUUGUAAUAAUUUGUAUUUCUUUGAUUUUUUUUGUGUUGCUUUGUAUAUGUAUGUAGCCUACAGGUGACCCAUACCGGGUCGGCCCAGUGGAGGGGAUCAUCAGCCUAUUGGAACAGGGAGACCAAUCUUGAAUUGCAACUGAAACAAGGAAGGCUGUUCUUCUCUGGCCUCAGCUCUUGAGCUCCAACCCCUCCCAUCAGAGAGGGCUGGAGCUGAGCUACUAUCACCCAGGAGACUCAGGGGCUCUGCUGCUCUCUGCUGGACUGGAGGGUCCUCGCUGGAGACCGGACACCCUCAGCGUGUAGCACGGUGGACUAUGGAGGCUGAAACCAGCUCUAAAGAAGUUCCUUCUGCUGAUCAGGUCAGAGUUUGCUCUGAGCAUUCUGGAGCCUCCAGACCCUCCGGACGCCAGCAUCUGAGGCGUCUAGCUCCCUGAAGGCCUCCGUGUUUCCUGAUUGGCUGAAGCGCUCCAGCAGGGGCUGGAAGACCAUCGCUGGGAUGCUGUAGUUCAGGUGAGGGUAUGUCACGUUGGCCGUGCAGUCCCUGGUGUUACUGGCUACAAUGCCUGGGAUUUAGAGGAACAUAAUUAUACGUUUUAAACUUGCAUACAAUUGUGGGGAAUGAUAGUUUGGGUGUUUGACCGAAAGAUGGUAUUCUGGGUUCAAACGCCCAACUUUCCUGCUCAUUGAUGUGUGCAAUAUAUACUCAUUGUAUGCCGCUUUGGUCGGCAAAAUGACUUAAUUGAAUAUAAUUAAAUAUAUUAAGCAAUUUUGUG